UGGAAUAAAAUAAUGAAGAGUCUCUCUCUCUCUCUCUCUCUCUCCAUUCCAUUCCAUUCCCCUUUUUCCAUUCUCACACUCAGGCACACAACACAUCCAAACCCCAAACCCAACCCACAAAAUUGUAGGGUUUGUGUUUUUUCGGUUCCAUAAUGUCUCAGAAUGGGAAGCUCAUGCCCAAUCUCGACCAGCACAGCACCAAGCUCCUCAACCUCACUGUUCUUCAGCGCAUCAACCCCUUCGUCGAGGAAAUCCUCAUCACCACUGCACACGUCACCUUCUAUGAGCUCAACAUUGACCUCUCCCAAUGGAGCCACAAGGACGUCGAAGGAUCCCUCUUUGUUGUCAAAAGGAACACGCAACCGCGAUUUCAGCUUAUUGUGAUGAACCGUCGCCAUACUGGUUUGAUCCUUAAUGCAUAUGCUGAGGUGCCUCCAAAGUCAAAGGUGUCUUCUAUAAAGAGUGGAUCUCCUCGAGAUGACAAAGAUCAGAUUCGUGAUUCUGCUCCUGAAAUUCGUGAUGUAUUUGAGGAUUUUGAUGAUGAUGAAGAGGAGGAUGGAUAUGCAGUUCAUCAUGACAUUGAACAUGACUCAAAUAGAUCCCCUAUUGACGAAGAGGGCUAUGAAAAAGGCCUGAGGCUAGAGGAUAUACUUGCAGAUGAAGAUCAUAGGUAUGGGUCAGAAGAGAAAAAUUAUGAGAUAAAAAAUAAAGAGAAACCACUUGGGCCACCAUUGGAGUUAGAGGUUCCGCUGCAACCACCUCCAGCUCUUCCAGAAAAGGUCUGGCGUAAUUUAUGUGGAAGCCUGUGGUUUAUAUAUUAAUUUGAAUUUAACUUUGACUUUGGGUGGCUGGAUAAGAGUUCUUAUUCUUCUUUUGGCAUAUGAUGCCUUUAUGAUUUUUGGUGCAAUAUUUAAGGAGCCAAAGUGAAAAGUAUGCAGUUUAAAAUGAUAGAAGUAGUUGUAUUCUUAAAAAAGUUCCUUUAUGAUCACUUUCUGAUGACAUAUUUGGGCAAAAGGCAGCUUAUAUGAGGGCUUAAUACGCUCAGGGAAGUGAACAUCUUUGGUGAUACAUGUUCGGUUGAGAUCUUAACCAUCGCUGUCCUCGUGAAGGUAUUCUGCUGAUCUCUUUGUUUGCCUGGUCAUGUAUGUUUAAAGUCGGUGAUUUAGGGUCUCUUUUGUGGGUUGGUGGUCUUUGAUUUGGGGUUUGACCAAGGAGGGUUCAGCUGUAACUCUCUGUCGGCAUCCCUCUCUCUCUCUCUCUGGGAGCCAUCUUCUAUUGCAUUCUUUGCUCAAAUUGGUCUUGACUAUGUCUCAUACUCUCCUUUUAGGUUAGAUUUUUAGCUUAAAUAUAAGUUAGAGUUUUACGUUCAACUAUUAAACUCAAAUUUGAAGACUCUUACAGGGUUCUAAUUGAAAGGCUUGCAUAUACCUCAAGUUGUAGUUUAAAAAAUUUGUUAAUCUGGUGUAAGAGGGAUGAAUGACUAGCUUCUGGUUCUUUUACUGCUCUGUUGUUACAGCUCCUUUUAGCCCUUAACUGCUUUGUUACAUUCUAGCUUUCAGUCUUUUCUGUUUUAUGGGAGCAUUUGUUGUGGAGCUUCUGUUCACUAUGUUUUUUGUAUUUUUUUAAGUGCUUCUAUUACUUUAUGGUUUUUGUUACAAAUUGAUGCUGAAAGCUUGCAAAGAAUUUGGCCUAAUUUUACUAUAUUCAAGUAUUGUUAGUUAGGUUGGAUCAGAUAAUUAGUGAUAUUCUGGAUUCUAUUUUCUCAAAUAAUAUUCUGGCUUUAUUUACAAAAUGCAAAUUUAAAUUUGUCUUUAUUAACAAACUUACAGUGAUUUCUUUUUAUUUGGUCAAUUUAGAUUUCAACUCCAAAUCUGAUAACUUAUUCUUCAUUCACAUGUGUCUAUAUUUUGGGUUGUUGUCUACGCUGCUAUGAGUUUCAAUUUAGAUCUUUCUUUGUGGUUUCUAAUUGAAAUGAUUGGUUGUAUUCUUGGUCUAAUAUAAGACAAGGUUAUCAACACUCAUAGGUAGGAAGCUUAUUGGGAGGCUCCUCAAAAUCUUUUCUUACCAUGGUACACUCUAAACACAACAACAAUAUAAGAAAACAGAAGAAAAAGUAUUCGUACCCCAUUUCUUUUUUCCCCACCUUUCUUAUGUAUGUGUCCUAUUAUGUUGUCUAAGUUGUGUGUUCUCACUGUGGGUAUAAGUAUUUUGAUAUUAUCCCUUAAGAGUUCAUUUAUUUUACAUAUCUUGGAGAUUUGUUAAGUUUAGAUUUAUAUAUUUGAUCAUUUUUCUAGUAUAUCAAGUGACUUUUGCAAAUAAGUUAAGCUUAUCUUUUAUCAUACAAUCCUAAUCUUACCAUAACUUGAUCUAUUAUCGUGUUUUGCAGUUGCUCAAUGUUCCAAAACCUGCUAUUCUUGACAUUCCUGUUUAUGUAUUGGGGGGUAGAUAUUAGAAUUAUAUAUUAUUAUACAGAUUGCCUAAAGACUAGGUGAUACCAUUAUGAAAACAAGUUUGUUAGGUACUCAUAAAGAUUUUUUAUGCCUUUGAAUGAUUAAUUUUUAAAUUUUUAAUUUAGUCCGAAGAAAAAUACUACAAAAGUAUUAUCUUAUUCUUUUACAUGUCAUCAGAUAGGUAUAUCCAUGAUAAGGAAGGAAGUUGAGAACGAUGAGUCUGUAAAAGUAAUUCGUUUCCGUUGUUGUUUCCAUAUAUAUUUUUUUAACUCAAAACAAAUAAACAAAGGCCAUGCUUUUAUAUCAGCUAGAUUUGAUUUGAAGAAAAGGAUUUAGGUUUGGAAAUAUUUGAAAAUUUUCUGCGGUCAAUUAUUUGAGCUGGAACCAACAUACAGACUUAAGAAAUUUUUGUUUAAAGGUUUUUGUUUUGAUUUUUUGCAGGAAUCUUCAUCUCUUAGAAAAAUACCAGUGGUAUCUUUUGGCCGUGAUCUUCAACUUCUUGCACAUUGACACUAUUAGGAUUUCAUUAUUAGAAAUUCAGAAAACGGGUAAAAUUAUAAAGAACUUUAUUCAUAUUUUUAGAGUUUUAAAAAUAUACUAACAUGUUACCAAUAAUAUGUUAUUCAUAAGAAAUCUUAUUUGAAUGGUUUCUACUCAUUACAAUAUUGUGCAGUUAGUUGGAGAUGAUCUCUUAAUGUCUAAUGCAAAACGCAUUGAGAGAGCAGUACUAGAGUAUGCAUGUAAUGCUCUUUUUCUUAAGGUAAGUGAUUUAAAUGGACUUUGAUGGGGUUCCUUUGUUUAGUUCAAAAUUGUUCUCACUUUUUCUUCAUAAAAUUAAUCAUAUUUCGUUAAUAGAGAUGUUUGGAUAUCCAGAGUUUGAAAAAUGUUGCUUGUUUAUGCAAUACAUUAGAAAAUAGAGUUUACAAGUUUUUUAUCCAUAUUAAAAAAUUGUUGCAUGAGCUAUUUUUGAUAAAAAAAAUUUUAAUUACUAUUUUGCUAUUUUUUAUUGCUGUUUUUCCUCUCCCAUGGAUUUCUAUCAUUCAAUGAACUUGAAAAAUAUAUAUUCCAUAAUUUAAAAGAAUUGAUAAGAACUAGAUGAACAUGGAGCAGUUUACUUUUUGUUUGCGGCUUAACCAUAUGAUGCUUUGAUGAGAUGGUUUCAUUGUGAUUUUAGAGCUUGUAUAUUGAAAACUUUUAAUUAAUAUGCAUGCUCAGGAGAAAUCGCUCGAACUGUUGUCGGCAUCUUAGGUCUCUCUCACGUACUCUAAUUAAUUAGUUACUUCAAUUGUAUCUACUAUAUCAUCAUUGAUCUUAAUUACUUUCUUUUGUCUUGCUCAGGAAACAUAAUUUCUGCCUUCCUAUUCUUGUCCCCAGUUAGGCAGCAUGAUUCGUUUAGAGAUGAGUGAAUAAAUGCAGCGGCAUACGGGGAGCAAAUUGAUAGGAUUGCCAACUUACUUAUUCUCAGCUCUUAGCUUGGAAAAAAAAGGCUUUUUGGACAAGUUAAGUUAUACUGCUACUUGUUUAUUUUUAUAUGAAAUUUAAGGCAUUAAAUAUUUAUAUUUGGGUGUUUCGUGUGCUAUUUGGUGAUGUUUGUGUGUUGUCAAGUUUGCUGGGACUAAGAAAGGAAUGAGUGUCUUCAAAGGCAAUGGGAAAGAUGGGAAGUGAAAAGGUGUCAAAAGACCCUAAUAAACUAAAGAGGCAACUGAGUGGUUUCUUCUUUUAGUACGAAAGGGAGUAUGUGGUUGGUCUUAAACAAUGCUCUGUUGAAGAAAGAGGAGCAUCUUCUCUUGGAAGAGGUUGAGAAGAUCCUUGAUGCUGGAAUUUGAUGAGUCUCAUGGUUCUGGAGAUGAGUUUGCAUGUUAAAUGAGAUGGUUGUCCAUGCCAGUUAACUAGAGCUACUAAUUAGGACUAAUAGGGCAUUAGAUAUUUUGGUUGCAUUCAUGUAAACAUUUCAUAUUUUGGGUUGUGAUGUAGGAGAUGUGUGGAUUAAGAUGUUUUCAUCUUCUGUAUGGAAUGCUUUGUGCAUUUUUAUUGGGCUUAUUUCUCAUGUAAUUGAUUAAGUGUUAGGGUGUGGAGUGUGGACACAAUAUCAUUAGUUGCUAGACAAAUUAAUUGUGCAGUCCUUUAUAUUUGUAGUUCAGUUAUUUCUUUGAAAUUCAAUAAAGUGAAGUAGCUUCUUUAUGAUGUUAAAA